rnacentral:lncRNA from 1 species
CGCUAGGCCCCGCCUGCUCUAUUUAAACUUCUGGACUCAACCUGGCCGCUAGACCGGAGCGUCCUCCAGCGCAGGCAAGGAUUCCUCGUUUAGAGUCAUGUUAUCUUCGAGUACCUAGAGAGACAUUUUAACCCACACCCUAGAGAGGCGUUGUAAUCCUUACGUGUCUUUUAACGCUACUUGGCCCUUACCUGCGAGCAACUGACCUUUAAUAAUCCUCAUUUUCUGUGCCCCGGAAGUGCCUUACCCUCUUCGCGUCUGUUUCCCGGAAGUGGUUCUUCUCCCUCUCCACCCUUUCGCCCGCCUGGGCGGUCCAGCUGCCCCUAGGGGCCAACUCCAGCGGCUAUUUUGGGGCUGGACAUCCCGCAGCUUUUCAAGGCGUGCCUUUGGUUUUUUUAAGAAGUGCUAUCUAAAGGAAAAGCUGGACUAUGACUCUGGGGAACUUUCAUAUCCUCAGUUGACCUUAGGCUGUGUGACCUUGAGCAGGUAGCAUAACCUCUCUGAGUUUCCCGCGUGCCUUAUGUGCAGAUUGAGAUGCUAAAAUGAGAGAGCUAAAUUGGAAAGCUUUUUCCACAUAGGGGGCCGUGAGCAGGUGGCUGUUUUGUCCUCUGGCACCUUUGGCUCAGACUUAAGCAGCUUCAACGACCGCCAAGAUGCCUGCCAUGCCCACCAAGAUUUAAAGGACUCUGAUAAUUCUUUCUCUCCCCAAACGGUGUUUUCCUUAUCUAAUCCUAAUAACCAAGCCUGGAGGAAUCCCUGACUUCGUGAUUGAAGGCUCUCCAGGUCCCCUAGUUUAAGGGCAGAGAUUUACUUUCUCUGAGGCUACAAAGGAGCGUCUGCGAGAAUGUCUCUACCUUAGACAAAACAGGGAGGAGGGGUGGAGCUCUCCAAAUUGCCUCUGGUUUGGGCUUUUUCUUUCUGUUUUGGUGUAUCGUCUCUGGCCAACAACACCUGUGAGUCCUUGAUGUGACGAUUAGGGAAGAUGUUUUUAAUUCACAUAACUAUUCUUUAGAGAAAAUUGAUCCUGAAACACCUUAUUGCCUUAUCGUAGAAUGACUGCAUUACUCAGAAUUCUUUACCUCUACCGGAAUUUAGUGAAGGGAAGGCACAACGUACAUUAGGAAAAUACAGGACACACUCCAGUCCUUAAACCUUCCACAAUCUUCUAGCUCUUUAAGGUCGAGUGUGAUCCUCCCCAGAACUGCAUCUUCCAGGAAGCUCAUGAGAAAGGAAGGAUCCCAGGUCCCAUCUCUGAUCUGAGUCGGCAUCUGCGUUUUAACAGAAUCCUGAAGCAGUGGUCUAACUCCUUUGGUGGUGUUAUUGUUUGCAUGUAUACCUCCAAAAUUCACAUAUUGAAAUACUAACCCCCAAGGUGAUAGUAUUAGGAGGUGGGGCCUUUGGGAGGUAAUUAAGUCAUGAGGGUGAAGCCCUCAUGAAUGGGAUUAGUACUCUUAGAAAAGGGACCCCAGAGAGGUCUCUUUCCACCAUGUAAGGAUAAAAGUACACGGAGAAGAUGGCAAUCUGCAAACUGGAAAAGGGCCCUCCUCAGAACCUGACCAUCUUGGCACCUUGAUCUCAGACUUCCAUCUUCCAGAACUGUGAGAAAUAAAUUUCUUUUAUAAACACUCAGUCAAUGCUACUUUAUUAUAGCAGCCUGAAUGGAUUAAGACAGGUGGUCUGGUUUAAAGUGAUGUGGUGGCAUCAGAAGUUUAAGGAGAGACUGGAUUUACAGAACCAGAAUCUGGGAUGCUGUUUACAGAGCAAGUUAUUUCCUGCAUUUGGACACUGUCAGCAGGUCGAUUCAGGAGACAGGUGAAAACUUUAUCACCGGGCAGCCUGGAUGAACACCACAACUUUGAUAUCUUUCACUUAAAGGAAAGAUAAGGGCAUCCACUAUUUCUACACCUGGCUGGCAGAGUGAGAGCUCACCAAAGCACUUACAAAUUCAUGGACUAUUAUGAAGACAAGUUAAGAGAUUGUGUCCUCCAAACUCAUCAUUUUUCAGCAUUAUUAUUUUAGGAGAGAGGUCUAGAUCAACAGCUCUAAAAUGACACCAACAGAACAGCAGUGAAGAAGGCAUUCUCGGAGGCUGCACAUUUCUGGAAGACAGCAUGAAGAUAUGCCUCAAGUGCAAACAAAUAUUUGGUUUGGACUUAGCAAUUCUAUUUCAGAGAAUUUGGCCCUACACAAUAAAAAAAAAAAGCCAAGAUUUAAAUGCAGAUAUUACCUACAUAAAAAUUUGUAACUAAAAAAAGUAAGCCAAGCAAAAUAUCUAACAUCAUAGAACUCAUUAACUAAAUUAUAGAAAUGACUUUAUUGUGUAUAGAAAAAUUAUUCAAUUCUACAAAAUUUAAAGUACUUGGGGGAAAAGGCAUUGAAAUGACAUACCCAAAGUUCACCUCAAAUGUAACCAGUCUAGAGGACAUGAUUGCAGACUUUUGAUAUAUGGAUACCAGGAUAUGCAGAUAGACAGAGAUUCAGAUAGAAAUGUUUUAAGGACCAUGUGUUUAAAGUAAGAACCAGUAAAUGUAUUUUUCUUAAAUUUUGCUUUAGAAAAAAAACCAGAAGUGAUACCAAAGGGAUUGCUGAUCUUCAAAUAUUUGAGGCUGGGGUGUCUAGGAAUACAGUAGGACAUGAAUCCUUAAAAAGUGAGAUAGGGUCAACUGCAUAAGUAAUGUGUUGCAAAUUCACUUUACAUAUAUAGCAUUUUAACUAUGCUAUUUGGUAAAAACCAAGAGUAGCUGAUAAAAUGCAGUCUGUUCCUGGAUUAAAAUAGAAACUCUGUUGUCUUUCUAUCUGCACUUCUGACACUUUUGAUGUUCUCAUUUGUUAUGCUCUCAAGCCAUCUCAACCUAACUUGUCCUUCCCUCACCCCCAAAAAUUGGCUGGGAAAGAGGAGAAAUUAGGGCAUCCUCAAACUAUACCUCCUAGACUAGAGGAAUCGUACAAUACUAAGGCUAAUUUUCCCAGUUAGAAAAAGUGAACAGAAACUGAAUGACUGGCUGCCUGCCAUCCAAAGAGGGAAACGUCCAAAGCCUAAGAAUGAACCAGGCUGGGAGCAGUGGCUCACACUUGUAAUUCCAG